GCACGCCUGACAAGUGCGCCUCCCCCUCUGCCCCGUGUUUGACAUCCACAUCGUUAUAGGUUCGCCCCUGGCUGCUUUAUUUUUAAGGGAAGCUCUACGCCAGCUACAGAUUACACAUUCUGCCCUCAAACACACGGAGGGAAGCAGAAGCGGGUGCGACGCGGGGGGAAAACAGGCGCGGUCUUUCUCGGCUGGACAGCUUUUUGCGCGCAGUUGGAGGAGGGGAAUUUAUAAGAUACGUGCAUAUUUAAUCAUUUUUUACUUAAAGUCGAAGGAGGUGCACAUUUUAGACUGCGGUGAGAUCUUUCUGCACACCUGUGGAUGCAGUAAAAGCUCGCUUGAUGCUCCGGACUCCAAUCCCCAGUACACGCAGGAUUCUCCAGUUUCUAACCCCCCCGUCCAACAUGCUGCUGAGCGUCCCCCUCUUGGUGCUCCCCUUGCUGAGCAUCACCGACUGCGGCGCGUCGUUCGUGCCGUGCGAACCUUGCGACCAGAAGGCCCGCUCCAUGUGUCCGCCGGUGCCGGUGGGAUGCCAGGUGGUGAAGGAGCCCGGCUGCGGCUGCUGCCUGACGUGCGCGCUGGAGGAGGGGCAGUCGUGCGGGGUGUACACGGGUCCGUGCUCACGCGGACUCCGAUGCCUGCCCAAGAAUGGCGAGGAGAAGCCGCUGCACGCCCUCCUGCACGGCCGGGGGGUGUGCAGGAACGAGAAGUUGUACAAACUGCUGCAUCCUUCCAAAGAUGAUCUCCCAGAGUCCGUGAUGCCCCAAACCAAGGUGCCCAUAUACGGACGGGAUCACAUUAGCAGUAGGAAGGCCCAGGCGAUGAAGCAGGCCAAGGAACGCAAAAAGCAGCUCGCCAGGGUGGGACGCAACAGCAACCUGGACUUCACUCUCAUUGGCCUGGAGAAAAUGGAGCCUGAGUUUGGCCCCUGCAGGAGACGUCUGGAUCACCUCAUUCAGAGCAUGAAGGACACAUCUCGGGUCUUGGCUCUGUCUUUGUACAUCCCUAACUGUGACAAAAAAGGUUUCUUCAAGCGCCGACAGUGCAAGCCGUCUCGGGGUCACCGGAGGGGAAUCUGCUGGUGCGUGGACCGCUUUGGCGCCAAGAUCCCGGGCAUCAACUACGCUGGCGGGGACUUGCAAUGCAAAGACUUGGACAGCGGCAGCAACAGAAAUGAGUGAGCUCGAGUUAAACCGGCAAACGAUUCAUGACCGCUCUCUGGUCAUGUGAUGGACGGGAUGCUGAAACACUUGUUUUUUAUAGGUUACGUAACUGUGGCUCCCCAAUGACUGUGUUCAUUUUCUCUAUAUCCAUAGAUUAUAGACAAUAUACGUAUAUACCGUUAUACACACAUUCAUAUGUGUGUAAUAUUGAGAACAUGUUGUACAUUGAGUCUGAUUGAUUUACAUGUUUUAAAUGUGAUUCAGCUCCUGGGAGAGGUUUUGUUUCAUAUUUUAAGGGAGAAGUUAUUCAGAAGGGGCUGCUUCUUCAUUGCCCACCAUUAGAAAGUUCAGAAAAGAGAUGUGUGAGUCACAUGUUUUUGUCUGAAUCAGGACUCAGUACUCAUCUCUGUUAACUCAUCCAAUUAAACAACUGUGCUACGGCCUGCUAAAAUUAAAAAAGGAAAUCAGCUGUAUCACAGGCUCGAUUCUCACUCAGCCCGUGACCUUCACUGACUCAAGGUUGUUCGACUGAUAUUCGAGUUUCACUGACUCACGGGUUGAAGAAGACUUGAGUUUCACUGCCACUGGUGCCAGAUGAAGACUCUGGUUUUUGACCGACUCCUGGCUACUCAAUGAAGAUUUUAAUUUUACUGACUCACUGGUGUUUUAUAAAGACUCACAUGUCACUGACUCACAGGUUGACAAAGACUCAAGUUUUGUUGACUCACAGGUUGAUGAAAACUCAAGUGUCAUUGACUCAUGGAUGCUCAAUGACUUGACACAGAUCCAAGUUUCAUUGACUCACCGAUGUUUCAAGUUUCACUGACUCACAGGUUGACAAAGACUCCAGUUACACUGACUCAUGGGAUGAUGAAUCAUUGAGUUUUAAUGACUCACUGUGUUUCAAGUUUCACUUACUAACAGGUUGACAAAGACUUGAGUUUCACUGACUCACGGAUUAAGACUCAGGUUUAAUUGACUCACAGGUGUGUGACAGCGUUUUACUGACUAAAGGGUUGAUGAAAACUCGAGUUUCAUUGACUCAAGGGUUGAUAAAAACUCGAGUUUCAUUGACUUAUGGAUGCUCGACGAGUUGACACAGUCUUGAGUUUCAUUGACUCACGGGUGUUUCAAGUUUAAUUUGCUCACAAGUUGGCAAAGACUCCAGUUUCACUGAUUCACAAGUGUUUGACGACUUUGACGACUUGAGUUUCAUUGACUCAUGAGCUGAUGGAGCAGGUGUCAUUGACUCACAGGAAUUUGAUGAAAACCCAAGUGUCACUGAUUCUCAGGUUGACAAAGACUUGAGUGUCACUGACUUACUGGUUAACGAACACUCAAGUUUCAUUGACUCACAGGUGUUUGACAAAGACUCCAGUGUCACUGACUAAGGGGUUGGUCAAGACUCGUGUUUCAUUGACUCACGGGGCGUUUGACGAAGAAAGGAGUGUCACUGUCUCACGUGUCGACAAAGAUUUGAGUUUCAUUGACUUCGAGUGCUCAACGAAAACUGCCGUUUCAAGUUCAGGAACGUGUUCAAGAUUAUGUGCCUCCAUUGAACCGAGUACCCGAUACAAUGGGGGAAGGGACUUGUUGGGUAUGUCCAAGAUUCUGUGCAUGUGCUUUUUAACGAGUGAGUCACGUACCUGAUUUACUUCAGUGAGUGACUCAGUGGAGUGGAGUCAGGUGAAGGAAUCAGGUUUGCCGUUACUGUGUCGGUAUCCAGCAUCUAGAAAUGACAAUUUUCUCAGAUAGGAUGCUAAGAAAUACUCUCGCCAAAUUGAAAUGCCAAAGAAAAAAACCCGGUCAUAUAGCUGUGAUUCAAUAGCAUAUCAUACAAAUCAUUCCAAAAUCUAACUGGAUGCUACAUUAUUAUCUUUAAACAUGUAAAAUAGUUGAUACAUCUCAUUCAAUCUUGUGUAUUUUCCAUGUUGGGCUGAAAAAAUAGUUCAGCCUUCCCAAACAAAACAGUGCAUUUAAGUGCAUUAAGUCCUCACAGAAUCUACAAAACACGAGUCAAAUAUGCUUUAAUGUAACGUCAAAUGUUUUUCAAAGUCCAUCACCUUUUCUGUAAAUGUGUGUGCAGUCUGUGUUCAUGUUCCUGAUGAUACUGUUGUUGUGUGUGCAAUGUGUAGCUGCCAUGCCCUUCUCCAAAAAUCACUCACAUCCUUUGCGGCUUGCACACAAAUGGUAUGCAAAGGUCUGAUGUCUUCACAGGCAAAUACGCCCCGGUGACAGGGCCUGGCUGUACACGUGCGGCCGCUGAGUUUAUAUGGAAAUCCAAGUGCCUUUGGCCGCAUGCCACUUUGAAUUGCCAUUUGCAUGCGUGUGUGUGGCACCGCUGGCAGUCAAAGCCAGUGUUGAUGUUGAACCUAUUUAGUAGGACUUAAUGACAGUUGCGCCGGUUCCUCCCCAAGAUUAGACCCUGUCAAUUCAAGCACAUGUGACACAAUAUGGCAAAUACAAAGAUUCUGUGAGCACUGUUAAAAUAUUUAUCAUGCGUGUCAUUGAUGUACUCAGUUUUUGUAAGACAAAGCACUAAUUCAAUAAAAAUCCUGUACUCUUGA